AUUUAUAUAGUAUAAGAAUUAUUUUUAACUUCCAAUUAAAAGAUCUAUUAACAUAGUAUAAAUA
rnacentral:tRNA from 1 species